UAGUUUGAUCAUGGCUCAGAACGAACGCUGGCGGCAGGCUUAACACAUGCAAGUCGAGCGCCCCGCAAGGGGAGCGGCAGACGGGUGAGUAACGCGUGGGAAUCUACCCAUCUCUACGGAAUAACGCAUGGAAACGUGUGCUAAUACCGUAUACGUCCUUCGGGAGAAAGAUUUAUCGGAGAUGGAUGAGCCCGCGUUGGAUUAGCUAGUUGGUGGGGUAAAGGCCUACCAAGGCGACGAUCCAUAGCUGGUCUGAGAGGAUGAUCAGCCACACUGGGACUGAGACACGGCCCAGACUCCUACGGGAGGCAGCAGUGGGGAAUAUUGGACAAUGGGCGCAAGCCUGAUCCAGCCAUGCCGCGUGAGUGAUGAAGGCCCUAGGGUUGUAAAGCUCUUUCACCGGUGAAGAUAAUGACGGUAACCGAGAAGAG
rnacentral:rRNA from 1 species